AUUGAACGCUGGCGGAAUGCUUUACACAUGCAAGUCGAACGGCAGCACGGACUUCGGUCUGGUGGCGAGUGGCGAACGGGUGAGUAAUGUAUCGGAACGUGCCCAGUCGUGGGGGAUAACGUAGUGAAAAUUACGCUAAUACCGCAUACGAUCUAUGGAUGAAAGCGGGGGAUCGCAAGACCUCGCGCGAUUGGAGCGGCCGAUAUCAGAUUAGGUAGUUGGUGGGGUAAAGGCCCACCAAGCCAACGAUCUGUAGCUGGGCUGAGAGGACGACCAGCCACACUGGAACUGAGACACGGUGCAGACUCCUACGGGAGGCAGCAGUGGGGAAUUUUGGACAAUGGGCGAAAGCCUGAUCCAGCCAUUCCGCGUGCAGGAUGAAGGCCCUCGGGUUGUAAACUGCUUUUGUACAGAACGAAAAGGUUUCUACUAAUACUAGGAGCUCAUGACGGUACUGUAAGAAUAAGCACCGGCUAACUCUGUGCCAGCCGCCGCAGUAA
rnacentral:rRNA from 1 species